UUUUCUUCUUGUACUUAAGCCAAAAUAACAUUGUAAUAGAUUGAAUGCAAAAGUAGACAUUAGAAUCCAUUUGCCUUGUAUUAAAUUAAACAUUCAAGAGUUGCAAAAAUGUAAAAUAAUGCCAACUUUCCCACUGGAAUGUUUUUUUCAAAGUUAUUAUUUUUAAAUGAAUUUCUUAGAAGUUAUUAUUUUUAACUGAAUUAAUAAAUAUUUAUAAAAUUUUUCAGUUUUAAUUUCUAAUACAGUAAAUGUCAGAUAUAAUCUACAGAAACCUACAAAUGUCAGAUAUAAUCUACAGAAAUCUACAGAGUUCUUUGGGAUCCUCAAUCAUUUUUGUAGCAAAAGGGGUCUGAAGACCAAAUAAUUUGAGAACUGCUGGUCUAGAGGAAGAUGAUAGUGCCUGAAUGAAGGCACUCAGAUUCCACUUGUACUGGCUUUCCGCAGGCCUGUCUGCUUUGCCUGGAUCCUGUAUUGCCUCAGGAUUCCUACUGUGCACAUGGGUUUCCAUUCAGUGUGAAACUUAACCAUAUGUUCAUGUAUUGUUUUAUGACAUCUCUUAAUUGAUUGAUGUGCAAACAUAUUUUACAUUACUUCUUCAACUACAUUGUAAGUCUAGAGCAUAGGAAUUCUUAUAUUUUCUCUGUUGUGGGUUUUUAUUUUUAACCUCAGAAUCUAGUACAGUACUAUUUCUAUAUAGAGGUUAAACCUUAGACUGGAACUUUAAUGAAUAAAACUGAUCCUGAUCUUCCUUCUUACACAUCGUGGAAUUUUGGAGGAGAAAGGGCCCGUGGCCGUCAAAUAGUUUAGCUGCUUCAUUUCGUAGACGAAGAAUCAGAGGUCUUGCGAUGUGCCUUGUCAAGGUCAUGCAGCUUUAGUCAGUAGGAAUCGAGUCUGGUGACUUCUACAUCCUUCCAAUAUACCUUCCCACUGCCUCUUUUUCUUUUAGCAGAUUUAUUAAGUGAACUAAUAAUUAAGACAUAAGAUCAGGUUGAAACAAAACAACCUGAUCUUGCAUCUUAAUUUAUUAUUAUCACAAUUCACAUAACUUACAUUAUUUAUUUUCAAGUGUGCCUUUUUGUUUUUCAAAUGAAAGAGUCACCUAUGUAUUUGUAUAACAACUUGUGCUGAUGAAAUUGAAGUUUAAUAUCUAAACAGGGAAAAAAUUUGCUCAGGAUUGUUUCCUGAGUUUGUAAGCAAGUUGAGUCAUCUCGAAGAAGAAUGCAGUGUAAUGCUUUCAGUCAUAGCUUAACAUCUGUUUUCUUAGGAUGAGUGAUGGGUCCUGCCCAAGCUCUUUGCCAUUUACUAGAAAGUCAUAUAUUUGAGGCUCAGUUUUGGUCAGCUUCUUCAUUAGGGUGUUUAAAAUAUCACUUUCCAGGGUCCCAAGGCCAAGCCAGUGGUGUCCUUCAUAGCUGGUUUAACGGCUCCUCCGGGCAGGAGAAUGGGUCAUGCAGGAGCAAUUAUUGCUGGAGGAAAAGGCGGCGCUAAAGAGAAGAUCUCUGCUCUUCAGAGUGCAGGGGUGGUGGUCAGCAUGUCUCCCGCGCAGCUGGGAAGCACUAUCUACAAGGAGUUUGAAAAGAGGAAGAUGCUAUGAAGGAAAACAGAAGUUCCCUGAACCUGUGGAAUGAAUCAUAGAAAUGUGAGCAGCAGCAGUUUGCUUCUGUUACCCACUGAUUGGCAGCCGGUGUGCCUGUCUCUGGCCUUUCCAGGCAGCGCCACGUCAGGCAAGGUUUAGAAUGUCCUAGAUUGAGAUGAUGUCACCUCAUCGUGUAACAGAGACAGCCAAUAAAUCUACCUUUGAUUUGAA